rnacentral:rRNA from 1 species
ACGAACGCUGGCGGCGUGCUUAACACAUGCAAGUCGAACGGAAAGGCCCUGCUUUUGUGGGGUGCUCGAGUGGCGAACGGGUGAGUAACACGUGAGUAACCUGCCCUUGACUUUGGGAUAACUUCAGGAAACUGGGGCUAAUACCGGAUAGGAGCUCCUGCUGCAUGGUGGGGGUUGGAAAGUUUCGGCGGUUGGGGAUGGACUCGCGGCUUAUCAGCUUGUUGGUGGGGUAGUGGCUUACCAAGGCUUUGACGGGUAGCCGGCCUGAGAGGGUGACCGGCCACAUUGGGACUGAGAUACGGCCCAGACUCCUACGGGAGGCAGCAGUGGGGAAUAUUGCACAAUGGGCGGAAGCCUGAUGCAGCAACGCCGCGUGCGGGAUGACGGCCUUCGGGCUGUAAACCGCUUUCGCCUGUGACGAAGCGUGAGUGACGGUAAUGGGUAAAGAAGCACCGGCUAACUACGUGC